rnacentral:tRNA from 1 species
GACCAGAUAGCUCAGUGGUUAGAGCAUCCGCCUAGAGUGGGAAGGUCCUUGGUUCAAUCCCAGGUCUGGUGA